ACAUCCGAGAAGGAGUUAAGUGCUUCUGUGCAUCCGUUAUUUAUGUAUAAAAAGGCGACAUCGAUGUUGUUUUUUCAUCGACUGCCGAGAAUUUCUGGCUAAUAAGGCUGCAACCAAGUCGUAUACAAGUCGACGUCUCCAUUGGAUUCUCUAUCUGCAUCGAAGAAGUGAACAGCAUCCACCAUGAAGGCUACAAUGCUCUGCGCUUUCUUGGCCGUCUUUCUAGCAGCGUCAUACGUCCUCGGAGUCCCAUACUACUACGGCGGCAUUGGCGGGAAUGGUGCUGCUGGAAAGAUGUACGAAUAUGAUGACGAAAAUACGGAAGACGGCGAAACGAUGUACGAAUAUGAAGGCGAGAUAGUCGGAAAACUGGUAAACGGCCAAGAUGGUGGAUUGAGUCCCAUGAUUGCUGCUGGGCGCGAUGAACUUGGGAGAAGAUGCUCGUGUAAACUGGGGCUUUGGUGCCCGAGAGGAUCGAGGAAGACUGGCCCGUGCCAUUCGUGGUGCAGGUGGUUUUUUUGCCAUGCGUGGAUAAGAUGCUGCCGAGGAUAAAAUAUCCGGCCAAUAACAAACAGGACAAGCACGCUUUGGGUGGAUUCGACUGGCAAUAUGUAUAUAUAUAUAUCGAUACUAAAUUUAAUUAAUCUCUGCAGUAAAAACAAAACAAAAAUAAAUAUAAGUAUUAUCAAUA